UUGAAGACAAAUUCUCAUCCAAAUUCCAUUCUUUUCCUUCUUCAAUUUGCAGAGAACAUUUAAGAGAGAUUUUGGAAGAAGAAGAGAAAUUUUACUAGAAUUUUGAGGUUGAAGAAUAGGAGAGAACUCAAGCAAAGUGUAUCCAUGGCUGAAUUUUAGUUCAUUCUGCACAUCACUGGUUUUUAAUUCGGUUUGAACUCUUCAAAAAGGAACUAAGAGGGCAGUUGGUUUUCACUCGAAAUCAGGAGGUCUCUUGUUUUUCAUGUAUUUUAGUGUGUACCGGUGAAGUUAGAAUCUCUAUUUGGGACAAGUUAAAGAGGUCGCGUGCACGCGAUUCUGGAAGUGGUUCUGUUUCAAGGGUUAUCUGAGUUUAUGUACGGGGAAUCAGAUUUAUAUGUCUUCAGGCUGAGAAGAAUUAAACCGAGCUUAUAGACCAAGGAUUUAGCCCAAGACGAGAUCUUGAGCCUUAGGCUAGAGAUUACCCUGUGCACACUGGUUAGAUUCCGUUGUUGACGUUGAGUGUACUCCGUAACAACGAUGCUGUCGUGAGUGCUGGACGGGCCCCACUACGACAAAGACGAUGGGAGUGUUGGGCGGAGCCCACUACAUCGUAGAGCUUGUAAACGUUGUUGUACUAGUUGUACCCUACACAACGUAGAUUUGUCAUGUUAGUUAAAAUUCUUCGAUAUACUUGAUAUGCCUUGCUAGAUUUCAAUGAUGAACAUGCUGAGUAUUUAAGGAAGCUAUUCUUACUACUACACGUUUACAUUUACGACUUGUAUAAACAGAUUUAUAUGUGUAAAGUUUUCACGUGCUCUUAUCUUUAAAUUCAUAGUUUUAAACUGAGUCACUCAUUGAGCUUCAUAGCUCACCCUUUCCAAAAUGUUUUACCCAUUUUCUAGGUAGAGAUCGAGUUUCCGAUGCCUGAUAGACUGCCUUAGUCUGUUGAAGCUCCAUUAUCGAUUGCCAGUACGUGUUUUGAGUUGGGCAUAGAGUCUGUUGUGUUAUGAUGUAUAUACACCCUUGUAUGUUAUAGAUACUCCACAGUUUGUAUAAGCUUUAGGAGCUGUAGUUGUGUAAAUUUUUGUUGGUUAUAUUUUGAAUAAGGUGUCUUUAGGUUUACCUAUGAAAUAAGUAAAUUUUGAGGUACACUUCAGGUAUGUGUUUGACUAGCCUAGGAUCCGCUGUGUUUUGUUGCAUGCAUAAUAGUUUAUAUACUAGAUUGGCAAGUUCAUCACAUGAAAGUUUUAAGUAGAGUCGACAGAUACAGGCACAGAAAAGCGUUAUUCGUCGGCUUCACGCCAUCUUUCGGUCUAAGGUAGCAGGUAGUCCGGGAGGAGGUGUGACGGCUCCUCUAAUGAACAACCUAUUUAAUUUAUGGUCCAACCACUAAACGGAAACCGCUCUCGUGCCAUAGAGAGGGUAGGGCCCUUUAUUCAAGUCUCGGAGACACCAUUUAAGGGAACACUUAUCUACUUACCCUACAGUCGGGAAGGAGUGAAUUUCAUCUUGUGUGAUUAUGUUUCUAGCUCUCCACUCGGUCUUGUCCUUAAAAUGAUAAGCAUAUUGAGUCAAAAAUCUGGUCACUCUCACCCAUACAAAUCAAAGGAUAAUUUCUCGUAAAUAGGAGUUCAUAAUACACUCAUGAUUAAGAUUAAGUUACCUAGGUCAUCCCAAUGAAAUAGAAACCCAACUAGUUAACGGAGUUACAUCUAGUGAUUAGUAUUUCGUGGUCUAGUCUUAUGCAAACUCAUUGCAUAGAAUACCCUCACUCACAUGUCGCAUACAUGAACGCAUUGGAUCAAUGUGUUUGUAUCAAAUACAAAGUGUGUCGUAUCCAUAGUGUUACCAAGAUAAGGUACCCAACCUUAACCUUAUACUAUAGACCCUUUAAGCUGAUCUUGAACAUUGAUCCACGUGUGUCUAUACAUACUGUUCAAGACUCAUCAAACAACUUAGGAUGUUGGUUUAUUGGAUUUAGGUUAU